rnacentral:rRNA from 1 species
AACGAACGCUGGCGGCAUGCCUAACACAUGCAAGUCGAACGAGACCUUCGGGUCUAGUGGCGAACGGGUGCGUAACGCGUGGGAACCUUCCCGUAGGUUCGGAAUAACUCCCCGAAAGGGGUGCUAAUACCGGAUAAUGUCUUCGGACCAAAGAUUUAUCGCCUUUGGAUGGGGCCGCGUUGGAUUAGCUAGUUGGUAGGGUAAAAGCCUACCAAGGCUACGAUCCAUAGCUGGUCUGAGAGGAUGAUCAGCCACACUGGGACUGAGACACGGACCAGACUCCUACGGGAGGCAGCAGUGGGGAAUAUUGGACAAUGGGCGAAAGCCUGAUCCAGCAAUGCCGCGUGAGUGAUGAAGGACUUAGGGUUGUAAAGCUCUUUUAACCGGGAUGAUAAUGACAGUACCGGGAGAAUAAGCGCCGGCUAACUCCGUG